GACUCGAUAGCUAAGUGGUUAUAGCAUGCGAUUGCAGUUUCCAUUCUUCCAUCGCAGGGUCCCGUGUUCAAAUCACGGUCGGGUCU